UACGUAGGGGGCUAGCGUUGUCCGGAAUCAUUGGGCGUAAAGCGCGUGUAGGCGGUUCGGUAAGUCCGCUGUGAAAGUCGGGGGCUCAACCCUCGGAAGCCGGUGGAUACUGUCGAGCUAGAGUACGGAAGAGGCGAGUGGAAUUCCUGGUGUAGCGGUGAAAUGCGCAGAUAUCAGGAGGAACACCAAUUGCGAAGGCAGCUCGCUGGGACGUUAACUGACGCUGAGACGCGAAAGCGUGGGGAGCAAACAGG
rnacentral:rRNA from 1 species